UUCUUUCGUGACAGUCUGUAUAACGUUACUUUACUUAAAAGAUAAGAGAUAUUCUAAUUUCUCUGAAAUUAUUCAGAUAUUUCUUCUUUAUCUGUUAUUGAUAGUAAACAUACAUUUUUCCGAUACUUUUGUAAAGAAGGCGCACAAGUUUAAAAUACAAAAUAAAAAGAGAAAUAUAUUUUUCAAUUUCUACGUUCAAAUUUUUAAACAUUUUACUCGUUUAAGAAAAACAGAAGACGAAUACAUUGGUCGUCUUUUGAAUUACUUAAUAAGUUAAUUAAGAUACAUAAAAAAUAAUAAAUCAGCCACGGUGAUUACACUGCAGAGAUUCUACGGUGUUGAAGUAACGAGAAGUUAGUAUUAAUACGCGUAGCCAACGAUAAAUCUUAACAUCGAAUCUUACUGUAUACAAAUUUUCGAAAUAAACGAGAAUCGAAGAACAAUUCGCGAUUGAAAUAUUCCGCUUUCUGGAACGCCAUCUGAACCAAUCGAAACGAGUGGAAACGAAUCGAGUGAAAACGAAACGAGUUAGAGCAACGUGCCACUGACUUCCGUGCAAGUCGUCAACCGAGAAGCAUUAGGUAAGCAUGUGUCGUCAGUAUAAUCGUCAGAAGAUGCUCGAUCGGAGGAUAACGCGGAAUGUCCUCGUGUUAUCAUGUCGAUUAUUGGUCAAAUCCGAUCGUCAAAAAAAGGUAAAUAAAUUUGUAGACAAUUUUUGUAAAGGUAUCGUUGAAUUUUGUUAAAUUUUCAAGAUGAAUUUCACACUCGCGAAACGAGUACGUAGUAUACACUCGUGACUUUUAGCGUGGCGAAGGACGCGAGCAAAUAUUCUACAUAUUCUCGUGUUUCCAACGCUUCGUAUUUCCGAAACAUACAUUUCUAUAGUAACAUAAAUACUUUUAUGUAAGCUCUCACGUUUUCCAGUUAAACAAUUCGCGCGUGAUUCUUUGCAUUCUGUUUGUUACGUUGCUCUAUUACAUUGUUUUAAUAUAUAUAUUUAUAUUGAAUUUGUUUGAAUUGGAAUAACUUGUAAUUAAUAGUAGAUUAAACACGGAUUUAUUUCAAACGUAAGAUUGCUUAAGAAAUAUGGUAAUUCGAUUGAAAUUGCUGAGGGCUCGACUCUUUCAGGUACAUGAAGCAAUAUUCGAAAAAGAAUGACGAUUCGACACGAUAUUCCAAAAUGAUAGAAAGAUAGUCGUUGGAAGUAUAGCAAUAGCAAUGAAGUUAUCAUUUCGAUAUAUUGGCUGCCAUUAUAUUUGAGCUAAAACGAAGAAGGGACAUAUUCGUGGUAAAGGAGAUAUAAAAAUGGCCAUAAAACACGAAGGUUCAUCUGAGCUUUCUUAUUAGCUACAGGAAGUAACACAAGAGGAAAUGAAAAGGCCGCGUCAAUAUUAAUUUUAUAAAUGUUUUGUAACUAGAUUCGAGCUCGUUGUUAAAUUAGGAUAAUGAAAAUUGAUCGAUAUUCGGAAAACUAAACCCGUGACUUCGCUUAAAAA